rnacentral:rRNA from 1 species
GACGAACGCUGGCGGCGUGCUUAACACAUGCAAGUCGAACGGAAAGGCUCCAGCUUGCUGGAGUACUCGAGUGGCGAACGGGUGAGUAACACGUGGGUAAUCUGCCCUGCACUCUGGGAUAAGCCUGGGAAACUGGGUCUAAUGCUGGAUAUGACCUUUCUCCUUAUGGGGUUUGGUGGAAAGUUUUUCGGUGUAGGAUGAGCCCGCGGCCUAUCAGCUUGUUGGUGGGGUGAUGGCCUACCAAGGCGACGACGGGUAGCCGGCCUGAGAGGGUGAUCGGCCACAUUGGGACUGAGAUACGGCCCAGACUCCUACGGGAGGCAGCAGUGGGGAAUAUUGCACAAUGGGCGGAAGCCUGAUGCAGCGACGCCGCGUGAGGGAUGACGGCCUUCGGGUUGUAAACCUCUUUCAGCAGGGACGAAGCGUAAGUGACGGUACCUGCAGAAGAAGCACCGGCUAACUAUGUG